rnacentral:rRNA from 1 species
AGCAGCCGCGGUAAUUCCAGCUCCAAUAGCGUAUAUUAAAGUUGUUGCAGUUAAAAAGCUCGUAGUUGAAUUUCGGGAUCGACGGGUCGGUCGCGCCUCUGGUGUGUACUGGCCCUGUCGGUUUCUCCCUUCUGACGAACCACGAUGUCAUUAAUUUGGUGUCGUGGGAAAUCAGGACUGUUACUUUGAAAAAAUUAGAGUGUUUAAAGCAGGCAUUCGCUUGAAUACAUUAGCAUGGAAUAAUGAAAUAGGACGUUUGAUCUUAUUUUGUUGGUUUCUAAGAUCGACGUAAUGAUUAAUAGGGAUAGUUGGGGGCAUUAGUAUUCAAUUGUCAGAGGUGAAAUUCUUGGAUUUAUUGAAGACUAACUACUGCGAAAGCAUUUGCCAAGGAUGUUUUCAUUAAUCAAGAACGAAAGUUAGGGGAUCGAAGACGAUCAGAUACCGUCGUAGUCUUAACCAUAAACUAUGCCGACUAGGGAUCGGAUGAUG